UAGACCGUCGUGAGACAGG
rnacentral:ncRNA from 2 species